GACGAGGGACCCUAGCGUUGUUCGGAAUCAUUGGGCGUAAAGCGGGUGCAGGUGGCUUUGUAAGUCAGGUGUGAAAGCCUUGAGCUCAACUCAAGAAAUGCACUUGAUACUGGAUGACUAGAGGACCGGAGAGGAUAGUGGAAUUCCCAGUGUAGUGGUGAAAUACGUAGAGAUUGGGAAGAACACCAGUGGCGAAGGCGGCUAUCUGGACGGUUACUGACGCUAAGACUCGAAAGCGUGGGGAGCAAACAGG
rnacentral:rRNA from 1 species